GAUGAAGAACGUAGCGAAAUGCGAUAAUUAAUGUGAAUUGCAGAAUUCCGUGAAUCAUCGAGUCUUUGAACGCACAUUGCGCCUCAUGGCAUUCCGUGAGGCAUGCCCAUCUCAGCGUUAGAAAAUAUUCUCAAAUUUUAGUUUUGUGCUAAAAUUUGGAUCAUGUCAAGGAAGCUAUUACUAUUAUUGUGAUUGCUCUUUGGAAAUUGAUAGGUCUUUGAGUUGCUACUCAUAGAACGUGAUGAAUCUUUCUUCGUUCUAUUGUAAUUCACUCUGGUAGUCCUAAAAGUUGUAUGCCUGUGGCAUAUCUUGUAAUUUGACCUGAGAUUGGGUAGGGAUACCCGCUGAACUUAAGCAUAUCAAUAAGCGGAGGA
rnacentral:misc_RNA from 1 species